CAAAAAAUGCUCUUGGUGAAGAGAGAGUUUGUGCCAUUAAGUGGUUUAUCAUCAGCAAUUUUAGGAUCUUUGAAAAUGUAAUACAUGUUUUGAAAUGAGUGCCCUGUCCAGAUAACCACUUCUUCCUCUUGGUUCUUUUAACUGCUGCUAGAAUCUGAAAGGUUCAUGCUCCUUUCAUACAGAGAUGUCUGACUUUCUUCUGUGAAUUAUCACAUGAGAGCAUGCACAGAAAAUAUGUCCGGGGAUAGGGACAGUGUGGGAAUGCGGCUGAGGUUGGUUGGACAAUGGGACUGAGAGAUCGUCAUGAGCUGUGAGAUACUAAUUUUUAAAAGAACAUACAGAAAUUAUGCCCCUAAGGGAGUAAUGUCUCAGUAAUAUCAAAUCUUUAUCCUUUGGAGAUAAAUUUGAUUUUUGGAAAAAUCCAAAAGUCAUCUGGAAUGUAGUAUUAUUAUAAAGUUGGUUUAAGGGAACAAUUUUUCUUAUGUGGUUCACAAACUGAUUCUAAGAAGGCAAUUUCAAAAGAUGAACUCUAGAAAAAUUUUAAACAAUGGCGGCAUCAUGAGACUAAGCAAGUCAUCUUUCGAGAAGAAUUAUUUGUUGGAAGUAUAAAUUUGGUCUUAUUUGUGUUUUGGAGUCAGGUGGAUCAGGGCUUUAGAUCUGGCUUCAUGUAUUUCCAGAUCUAUGACUUGGGUUACUGAACCAGGUGAAGCCUCAGUUCAUUUCCUAACCUGUAAGAUGAAGAUAAUUCUAGUAUCUAUCUUGUGGCAUUGUGAAGAUUAAAAAAUGAUAGUGUAUGUAAAGUGCUCUGCCCAGUGCCUAGCAUAUAGUAAAUGCUCAAUAAAAGUGAUGCUAACUCAUAC
rnacentral:lncRNA from 1 species